rnacentral:lncRNA from 1 species
UCAAUUCUCUUUAAAAAAAAAAAGGAAACUCAUAGAAAUCCUCACUGAGAAAACUAUAAACAAUCUCCAGAGGCAGAAUAAGACCAAAAACAAACAAAAAAAGGCUUCCCCAGGGUAAUUACACGUUAUUCCUUUAUGAUCAAAACAGAAAUUUGGUGAAUUUAAACAGUAACUAAAUUCUAAGGUUUCAUUAAAUCAUACAUGAUUGCAUGUUUUUUUAUUUUUUAAAAAUCUAGUAUUUUAGUAUUCAAGUUUUAAACAUAGCAUCCUUUUCUCAUCAUUAAAAGUAGGAUAAUUCUAGACAACUCUUCUGAAAUCUAUAAACAUGCUUAUAC